GUGCUAGAAAAGCAAGUACACAUAAUAAACCAGGAGCGAUAUAGAGAAGAUUCGCAUAUCCCCUGUGCAAAGAUUACAUGCAAAAUCGCGAAGCAUUCCACAUUUUU